CUAAGACUACUUACAAGGAUCAUUUCCACAGUUCAUUAACAGAGAAGGUUCUCUGAAUGUGUAGCACACUGGAAGCCACAAGCAGGAGGGACAGUCCUGAAUGUGACGCUGGCUCUUGGAGUUGCUUUGCUGCAACUGCCACUUGCAUUGUUGAUCAUUCUUCUUUUCCUUUUGGGAGAGCAAGAGGGAGACGGCACAGUCUGCAUGGU
rnacentral:snoRNA from 1 species